UGGGGAAUUUUGGACAAUGGGCGAAAGCCUGAUCCAGCAAUGCCGCGUGUGUGAAGAAGGCCUUCGGGUUGUAAAGCACUUUUGUCCGGAAAGAAAUCCUUGGCUCUAAUACAGUCGGGGGAUGACGGUACCGGAAGAAUAAGCACCGGCUAACUACGUGCCAGCAGCCGCGGUAAUACGUAGGGUGCAAGCGUUAAUCGGAAUUACUGGGCGUAAAGCGUGCGCAGGCGGUUUGCUAAGACCGAUGUGAAAUCCCCGGGCUCAACCUGGGAACUGCAUUGGUGACUGGCAGGCUAGAGUAUGGCAGAGGGGGGUAGAAUUCCACGUGUAGCAGUGAAAUGCGUAGAGAUGUGGAGGAAUACCGAUGGCGAAGGCAGCCCCCUGGGCCAAUACUGACGCUCAUGCACGAAAGCGUGGGGAGCAAACAGGAUUAGAUACCCUGGUAGUCCACACCCUAAACGAUGUCAACUAGUUGUUGGGGAUUCAUUUCCUUAGUAACGUAGCUAACGCGUGAAGUUGACCGCCUGGGGAGUACGGUCGCAAGAUUAAAACUCAAAUGAAUUGAC
rnacentral:rRNA from 1 species